rnacentral:lncRNA from 1 species
GGGGAUGAACAAACAAAAAUAGAGAUAAGGCCGAAAAAGGAAUAUGGUAUUUAAGGCAAUCCAAUGAUUGUACGCUCCAAUCAAGUCGGCAGUGAUGACUUUAGGGCUAUUAAAUAGGUAAAAGAAGGAUUAGAGCCUAUCACCUCUACUCCGAUAGGGUCUCGAGGUCAUCCUUUCCUGCAAACAUAGUGGUUGGGAUGCCACAGGA